rnacentral:tRNA from 2 species
CGGGGCGUAGCUCAGCUUGGUAGAGCGCUGCGUUCGGGACGCAGAGGUCACAGGUUCAAAUCCUGCCGCCCCGACCA